GAAAUGACGAAAUUGCCGAUAAUGAUGCUGCAUAUACCCCUGAGUCAGAAUUCGACGACUCCGAUACUGAUCCAACAUAUGACCCGAAGCAAGAGUCUGAGCGGAAAGGGAAACGAUUUCGACAGUUGUUGACGGAUUCUUCUGCAUCGUCAAAGAACAACUCCUUUAAUACGCCAUCGAGCACAGAAAAAUUUGUCAAAAAACCUAU